GCUUUGCAAGAGAAGGAUCUGGGACGACUGACACAAAUCCCUGAAAAGCACCCCGAGAUCGACCAUGCUGAUUGGUGCACUUUUGUUGAAAGUCAACUAACUCCUGAAUUUCAGGUACGCUAAUUAUAUUAACACUAAGAUAAACUCUUAAAUACAAGUACAUGUAUCUAAUGUAUUUUUUUGGCAUUGUAGGAGUUGAGUAAGGUGCAACGUGAACGUUCCUCGAAAAUCCAAUCCAAACAUCGAAGUGGUCGGAGUGGAAUGGUGAACGUACGGGAAGCUGUGGUAAGUAAUGCUUAAAUUCUAAUAAUGUGCUAUAAAAUUUAAUUGGUACUCAUUUAAUUGUUAUAAAAUAAUGUAGAAAAAGGAUCUCGAAGUUCCAGAUCCCCCGCCACCGUGUUUGGAUUAAAUCUUGCACCAAGAGUCGAAAACUUGUCACUGAUUACGACAAGGAAAUUGCAGAGAAGAUAGCUCAAUUGGAGGAGAAGCUUAGUCAGGGACAAAUUCAGGUCUAGGGCCAAAACGAUAUCCUGACGCAGGCGCUCGGGACACCAGAGCAUCCUGGACAUGUCAGGGCUGCUGGG